rnacentral:rRNA from 1 species
GGGAUUGCCCUAGUAACGGCGAGUGAAGCGGCAACAGCUCAAAUUUGAAAUCUGGCCCCCGGGUCCGAGUUGUAAUUUGUAGAGGAUGCUUUUGGCGAGGUGCCUUCCGAGUUCCCUGGAACGGGACGCCAUAGAGGGUGAGAGCCCCGUCUGGUCGGACACCGAGCCUCUGUAAAGCUCCUUCGACGAGUCGAGUAGUUUGGGAAUGCUGCUCAAAAUGGGAGGUAUAUGUCUUCUAAAGCUAAAUAUUGGCCAGAGACCGAUAGCGCACAAGUAGAGUGAUCGAAAGAUGAAAAGCACUUUGAAAAGAGGGUUAAAAAGUACGUGAAAUUGUUGAAAGGGAAGCGCCUAUGACCAGACUUGGGCCCGGUGAAUCACCCAGCGUUCUCGCUGGUGCACUUCGCCGGGCACAGGCCAGCAUCAGUUUGGCGCGGGGGAGAAAGGCUUCGGGAAUGUGGCUCCCCUGGGAGUGUUAUAGCCCGUUGCGCAAUACCCUGCGCUGGACUGAGGUACGCGCAUUCGCAAGGAUGCUGGCGUAAUGGUCAUCAGCGACCCGUCUUGAAACACGGACCAAGGAGUCGUCUUCGUAUGCGAGUGUUCGGGUGUCAAACCCCUACGCGUAAUGAAAGUGAACGCAGGUGAGAGCUUCGGCGCAUCAUCGACCGAUCCUGAUGUUCUCGGAUGGAUUUGAGUAAGAGCAUACGGGGCCGGACCCGAAAGAAGGUGAACUAUGCCUGUAUAGGGUGAAGCCAGAGGAAACUCUGGUGGAGGCUCGCAGCGGUUCUGACGUGCGAAUCGAUCGUCAAAUAUGGGCAUGGGG